AAUCCACCUGGGCAAGGAUUCUGA
rnacentral:miRNA from 1 species